CACUGCCCCAGGGGGAGGAGAAGCAUGGGGAGGGUGAGGACAUGUGGCUGAGUCUCAGGCCCAGUGCAGGAGGGACUGAACAGGUCAGAGGGCAGGGCAGGGGGGAGGGCAACCAGGUGUGAGGAUUCCACAGUGUCCAGGACAGGACGGGCUGCGCCUGCUGUGCUCACGGCUGUCUAUGGGGCCAUACCUGCACUCUCCCACCUUGUCUGCCCUCCAGCCCCUUAGCUGGGAACCGGAGUGAAUCGGUUGGCCCUGCAUUCCCAGGACCAGACCGAAAGGCCCUGGUGUCUUCUUUCAGACUGAGAUUCCUCAGGAAGGAGACAGCCAGGCCUGCAGGGGGCGUGGAGGAGGCCAAUACCACCCCCAGUUAAUCCCUCAGGCCUCUAACCCACCUGCCUCCUCAACACAGGCCUCCAGAAGGAGUCUCAGGACGCCAUUAUUGUCCACUUCCUCCACAGUAUGAAGAGCUACAAUUCCUCUCCAUGGCCAAGACCGAGGUGCAAACAGGCUACAUUCGAAGACCUGGCAUGGUCUGUUCCCUUCUGGGCUCCCCACCCAGAUCCCUACCUCUCCCUGCAUCUUGCAACUUCUCCACACCCAGCCAUGUUAGAGAUCUUUUGACUAUAAGACUUUGCAUGAGACUUUCCCCAUUCCUGCAUCUCCAAGUCCUGGUCACCUUCAGGCUCAGUAGUAGAUGCCACCCAGCUGUGUGUAUGCACAAGUGUGUGUGUGAGAGUGAGAGUCUCAUAUGGUUUUGAGUGAAGUAAUAUUCAGCUAUUUACAGACUCCUUCAACAAGUACUAUUGACACACCACCUUGUAGGUGUCAAGGUGCAUCCGUGAACAUAGCAAAAAAAAAAAUCAUUAUAAUCAAGAAGAUGUCAUUCUGUAGACAAGAAGGAUAGAAAUCAAAAGAAACAAAGAGGAAAUAAUACAGAGCACACUGGGUAGAAAAUGUUUUUUGAGAGAAACCAUGUAGACUGAGCGGCACGUGACAUAUUGGGGAGCAUGAUCUACAACCAAGAGUAGGAGGAGGUGACAUUUGAGCAAAGACUUGAGGCAGUGACAAGGCAGGUUCUGUGUUUGCUUAAAAGAAAAUUACUCCAAGAAAAUGGAAAAGAAGGCACAGUGAGUGUAAGAGCUCUGACGUGGGAGCUGGCUUGGUGUUUCACUGGAAACAAGUGGCCAAGAUUGAGAGCACAGGAGCGUCAGGUGGGGAUGCUGGGAGGAUGGUGCAGACCUCGUGGGUGUGCAGACCUCAUAGGGGAAGAGACCCAGAGGGGGUGGACACCCAGUGGGUGUGCAGACCAUGUGAGCCUUGCUGAAAAUGCAACAAUCUGAAGCCUUUGAGGAGAGCAGAGAUAUGAUAGAACUUUCCUUUCAAUAGGAUCCCUGUGGCUGCUCUGCUCAGGACUGGCCUGAAUGGGUCCAUGACAGCACAACAGAGAUGGGGAAGGGAAAUGAUGCCUAUUGAAGACAGGAAGUGAUGUUGGCUCGAACCAAAGAGAGUGGGCAUUUAUUUUGGACACAUUAUGAGGAUAAAACAAACAGGAUUUUGUUUCUGAGGUAAUGGGUGUGGUGUGGGGGGGAAAAAGAGAGAGCCAAGAAGGGUCUGGAGAGGGUUGUUCUCUGUGUUUCUCUGCAUUGCUCCUGGAGAGGGCGUCUCUGACUUCCCUCCUGUAUCAGCUUCUGAGGGCCUUUGUCACAAAGGACACACUCUCAGUGUCUUAAAACAAAGGAAAUGUAAUCAAUCCCUCACAAGGAGGCCAGAAAGCUGUGUAAGGAAUGAAGCACAUUUCUUCCCUCUGCCCUGCUAAGUUCUCCCCUGGGACCUGUAACACAGGACAGGUGAAGGACAGGAAAGCAUGAAAGUGUAUUUAAUAUGAGAUUUAUGUGGCACAGGAGCCCUCAUAAGGAAAUGAAGACCCAAAUAAAUGGUUAAAUCUCA